rnacentral:rRNA from 1 species
CACCAGCGCCACGAGUGGCACUCGCGUUUAUUGGGCCUAAAGCGUCCGUAGCAGGUUUCUUAAAUUUCUUGUGAAAUUGCCAGGCUUAACUUGGCAGUGUGCAGGGAACACUGGGAGACUAGAGACCGGGAGGGGUAAGAGGUAUUCCUGAGGGAGCGGUAAAAUGCUAUAAUCUCAGGAGGACCACCUGUGGCGAAGGCGUCUUACUAGAACGGAUCUGACUGUGAGGGACGAAAGCUAGGGGAGCAAACCGG